AGGUUCCAACUGUGCCAAUUUCAAUGCUGUAGUCUGUGUUGCAAAGAAUGUUAUUUUGAAGAUGUCGAAUAGCUAUUUAAGAAGAGGCGCGACCAUUUGGUUUGUUAUGCUAUGUUUAAAGUUAACGAUCGUGUUGAUGUUUAUGUAUCUGCCAAUUCCGAAAGCAAUCUCGUUUCAGUGGUAUAGUGAACAAAGGUCAUCUGCUCCAUUAUCGACCGCAAGUAGCGAUUACAACAGCAGGCAAAACACGACGGGAAUGUCCUUUAACCAACGCUUCAAAAGAAUCUUGAAGGAAACUGUAAACAAGAGUGUUAUGUCAAACAGCGGUGUACCAAGUCCAAGUUAAGAAUUAUUCGCAUUUCCCUUGUUUAUGUAUUUAGUCAAUUAUACAAGCUCUGAUAUUGCUCACAUCGAAGAUGGAGUAAUAUAAUUUGAUGUUUUAUCAAUAAAUCUAAAAUAUUAAAGCAGUGCACCGAAUUUCGAAUCUUUGCCAGACACCUUUUAAACGUUGUAUAUAUAAACUUAUCGAUCGCAUUUUAACCAAUAAACGAAACUGUUUUGUUUUACUAUCAAUAAUUGCAAACUGUUUGUUUAAAUAAAAGCCUGUGUAAAAUGCUUGCAGCAAGUAUUCAUUUACCUGGGUUAUGUGCCGAUCUCUCGGGAGAAUUCUAGUAGAGCGAGUUUCAGUGCGUUAAAAUCUGCGGCAUCAGUUUGCUAUUUUAAAACUUGUGUCUGCUCUCUGCUGUGCGUAUACGCACCCUAUUUCGUCGCUGAAACUUCAAGCAGAAGGGUCACGUCCAAUCAAGUCGAUGAACACCUCGGCAUCGUGUGCCACAAUCGGUCGAUACUUAAGGUUUUAACAGAGAAUGAAGGUUAUUAAGUAUGUGAAACCUACUGCUUCAUGUGUUAAAUGUUGGUCAGGGUCAUGUAAAGUUUAGGUUAAGGAUACUUCCUAUACACCAUGGUGCUGUUGCUACUGUAACGUUUUGGAUUCCAUUUACGAAAUUAUUCUCAAGAGUUACAAUACUGCUGGACAGAUGUGGAAUGCCUAUUGCUAAUAAUCUUCGAGGAUCGAGAGGCGACGAGUCUCAGAUCGGGUACGAUGAUCACAGUAAAUUACUCAUAAUGCAAGGGAUGCUAUCAAGUGUAAUAAUCACUUGUGUAGUGGUAUCGGGUAUCUUACUUAUUGCUUGCUGCAUCCGGCACUUCAUUCUUGCCUACGAUACGCAACAGGCAG